rnacentral:rRNA from 1 species
AUUGAACGCUGGCGGCAGGCCUAACACAUGCAAGUCGGGCGGUAACACAGGGAGCUUGCUCCUGGGUGACGAGCGGCGGACGGGUGAGUAAUGUCUGGGAAACUGCCUGAUGGAGGGGGAUAACUACUGGAAACGGUAGCUAAUACCGCAUAACGUCGCAAGACCAAAGAGGGGGACCUUCGGGCCUCUUGCCAUCAGAUGGGCCCAGAUGGGAUUAGCUAGUAGGUGGGGUAACGGCUCACCUAGGCGACGAUCCCUAGCUGGUCUGAGAGGAUGACCAGCCACACUGGAACUGAGACACGGUCCAGACUCCUACGGGAGGCAGCAGUGGGGAAUAUUGCACAAUGGGCGCAAGCCUGAUGCAGCCAUGCCGCGUGUAUGAAGAAGGCCUUCGGGCUGUAAAGUACUUUCAGCGGGGAGGAAGGUGUUGUGGUUAAUAACCACAGCAAUUGACGUUACCCGCAGAAGAAGCACCGGCUAACUCCGUGCCAGCAGCCGCGGUAAAAC